ACGAGCUUAAAUAAUUCAUGUAUCCCCCCUCUCCUCUUGGGUUACCACCUCCUCCUCUCUCUCUCUUCUCCUUUUCUCUCCCAUGGGAGCUCAAUAGAAACAAAUCUAGAUAAAAUCUUUCUGUUGCUGUUUCUUCAUGAAUAUUUUUCUUCAAUGUGUAGCUUGAGAACCCACGAAAGAAAAUGUGAGAGAAAGAGAGAGAGAAACUUCCAGUUAAAUAUUUCUGCAACGUCUAGUAAUUUUAUUUUACCAUAUUUAGACUCUCUUCUCUUAAAGCCACUUUAACUGUCUCUGCCAGUUUCGCAUUAAAGAUUGGAUUUCUGAGCUUGUUCUGUGUUUUCUAUGGUGAACCAAGCAUAUCCAAAGUUCAUACUUAACAGCAAGUAGCCGUGGACUUGGGAGGACUGGGUGUAGGCCCUUAAGUGUUUGUCUUCUUUGUUUUGUUGGGUCAGGAGAACGGUAGAUCUUUAGUUGAUUCUUAACCAUGUUUUGUGUGUGCUUCUUUAAAGAGUGCUAAAGCAAGAGAGUUAGCUGAGCUGGUGUUCCCCACCCUUUGCAGCCAUUAGAGGCACGUUCUUGAUUUGGGUUGUCUGACAACGCCUGUAUAGCAUUUUUAGAGCAGUUGCAAUUUGCAAGAACCCCAUCUACUAAAAGGUAUUGUUUUCUCUUUGGUUUUUUAUUUAUGAAAGUGACUGUUCAGAUUCUGUACCAAAGAGGAAAUUAAUUACAUACUGAACCAGUAGUCUUUCUAAACCAGUUUUUGCCUUCUAAUUAUCGUUUCAGCUGCUUAACACCCCCUUUGCUUCCUUCCUUCCUUCCUUCCACUAUUUUCAAGCUCCAAGUUGUCCAACAAACACCAAUCUCGAGUUUUCCUGGUCUGUUGGUGGAGAAACCUAUCUGGGGUGUAUUUUUUGCUGUUUGCGUUGUUGUUUUUUGUGAUAUCGAGAAUCAAUAAUUUGAGCUGAACACGUGCUUUUGUUGGCUCCGAAGAGAAUAUCCCAGAAGCAAAAAAGAACUCGACUUGGUUCUGGUGUGUGGAAAUGAAGAAUCAGGAACCCAUUUGCAUCUGAUCAGAUUAGCAGUGGGGUACUCUAAUUGUGAGCUUCACAGUUAUAUGUUGGAAUAUGGCUACUGCGCUCCAAAUGGAGGGGAGAAUGCUAGAAAACUUGAAGAAACAACUAGCUCUAGCUGUGAGAAACAUCCAAUGGAGCUACGGAAUCUUUUGGUCCAUUUCAGCCAGACAACCAGGGGUCUUGGAGUGGGGCGAUGGAUACUACAAUGGAGAUAUUAAGACAAGGAAAACAACUCAAGCUAUAGAACUUAAUGCAGACCAACUGGGCUUGCAGAGGAGUGAGCAAUUGAGAGAACUAUACGAAUCCCUCUCAAUCGGUGAAGCCAACCCUCAAUCCAGAAGGCCUUCGGUAGCAUUAUCACCUGAAGAUCUCAGUGAUCCGGAGUGGUAUUACUUGGUUUGCAUGUCGUUCGUGUUCAACAUUGGACAAGGAUUACCUGGAAGAACGUUAGCAAAUGGUCAGCCAACCUGGCUUUGCAAUGCCCACUUUGCAGAUAGCAAGGUUUUCAGUCGCUCUCUGCUGGCGAAGAGUGCAUCUAUUCAGACUGUGAUAUGCUUUCCAUUUUUGGGAGGUGUCAUCGAGCUAGGCGUGACCGAGCCGGUACCAGAAGACCCUAGUCUCAUUCAGCAUGUUAAAACUUCUUUCUUGGAGAUUCCAUAUUCCACAAUUAUUUCCAAGAAAUCCAUGAUGGUUGCAGGAAGCACAAGGAUUGACAACAAUCCUGCUUGUACUGUGCUUGAUCAGGAUAUUCUGCAAAACAAACUAAUUGCGUAUGUAGGAUCUGCAGAAUUAGGUAUCAAUGUUUCUCCCAAUAACAGUUCAAAUGGCUUUGAGCCCAGUCAACCAGCAGAGGGUUCAUUUAUGGUGGAAGGGAUCAAUGGGGGAGUCUCUCAGGUACAAAGCUGGCAGUUCAUGGAUGAUGAGUUCAGUAAUUGUGUCCUCCAUUCCAUGAAUUCUAGUGAUUGUAUAUCACAAACUUUUGUGGAACCUGAAAAGGCUAUCUCCACUCCUAAGGGUGAGAUGGCGAAACAACCUUGUUUGCAAGACCUUCAAGAGUGCAAUCACACCAAAAUGAACUCGCUGGAUUUUCGAAGUGAUGAUCUACACUAUCAGGGUGUUCUUUCAUCUCUUUUAAAGAGUUCACACCAGUCAAUCUUGGGACCGUGUUUUAAAAACUAUCAUCACGAAUCCAGUUUUGGGCUUUGGAAUAAAGGAGAUUUAGAAAAUUUUCAGAGAGGUGGAACCCCACAAAUGAUACUGAAGAAGGUUUUGAUUGCAGUCCCUCAGAUGCACGCUGUUGGUUUGCCCGAGUCCCCAGAAGACAUCUGCAAGAGGGAUGAAGUUUGGAGACCAGAGGCUGAUGAAAUUGGUGCGAACUCUGCAUUAGCUGAGAGGCGGCGAAGGGAAAAACUAAAUGAAAGAUUUUUGAUUCUUAGAUCGAUGGUUCCUUCAAUAAGCAAGGGGGACAAGGUAUCUAUACUUGAUGAUGCGAUUGAAUAUGUGAAAGAGCUUGAGAGAAGGGUUGAAGAGUUAGGAUCUUGCAGGGAGUUGGCAGAGGUAGAAGCAAGAACAAAAAGGAAAUCCCAAGAUACUGUAGAGAGAAUAUCUGAUAACUAUGGCGACAGCAACGUUAGUAACAGCAAAAGGCCACUGAUAAACAAGAGGAAGGCCUGUGAUAUUGAUGAAACGAGCAAUUAUAAUGUAUCAAAAGAAAGCUCAACGGAUAAUGUGACUGUCAGCAUGAUCAAUAAAGAGGUUCUUAUUGAGAUGAGAUGUCCUUGGAAGGAGGGAGUGCUGCUUGAGAUAAUGGAUGUAGUAAGCAAUCUCCAAUUAGAUUGUCACUCUGUUCAAUCAUCUGCCAGUGAAGGGAUUCUUUCAUUGACAAUCAAAUCAAAGUUCAAGGGCUCAGUUGUUGUGUCAUCUGGGAUCAUCAAACAAGAACUCCAGAGAUUAACUAGGAAGUUUUGAAGCUUGCUUUUCUCCCUAGAAACUUGGGGCUGUUUUAGAAUCCCUGCUUCAAUUGCUGUAUGGUGUGUAUUGUGGAAAGAGUAAUAUAUUCCCAAAGAUGUAUGUUUUUCUGUGAAGUGAGAGCCAGACACUGAAAUAAAAGCUGAAGGGAAGCAAGGGCCACUUACCCACGAAGUCAAACAAAGAUCCAAACUGCGAAGGGAUUAUAUUCCUAAUCACUCUAUUUUGAUCAUAUAUAGUGAUUUCACAUGUAACUCCAAUAUUAUGUUCAUACUCUUUGACCAGGCAAAGUUCUCUCUCUCUCUCUCUCUCUCUCUCUACCAUUCAUAAAAUGUCUCUUCAAAAUCUUCCCAGAAGCAAGAAAUGCCUAACUUUUUAAAAGCA